UACAGAGGGUGCAAGCGUUAAUCGGAAUUACUGGUCGUAAAGCGCGCGUAGGUGGUUCGUUAAGUUGGAUGUGAAAUCCCCGGGCUCAACCUGGGAACUGCAUUCAAAACUGUCGAGCUAGAGUAUGGUAGAGGGUGGUGGAAUUUCCUGUGUAGCGGUGAAAUGCGUAGAUAUAGGAAGGAACACCAGUGGCGAAGGCGACCACCUGGACUGAUACUGACACUGAGGUGCGAAAGCGUGGGGAGCAAACAGG
rnacentral:rRNA from 1 species